AGAGAAUAGAUACCCUGGUAGUCCACGCUGUAAACGAUCGGUACUAGAGUUUGGGGGAGUUGACCCCUUCAGACUCGGAGCUAAACGCGAUAAGUACCGCGCCUGGGAAGUACGGUCGCAAGACUAAAACUCAAAGGAAUUGACGGGAGCCCGCACAAGCGGUGGAUUAUGUGGUUUAAUUCGAAGCAACGCGCAGAACCUUACCUAGGUUUGACAUCCUUUGACAACUGCAGAGAUGUAGCUUUCAUAGCAGUAUGACAAAGAGACAGGUGCUGCAUGGCUGUCGUCAGCUCGUGUGGUGGCAUGUCGGGUUUAAGUCCCUCAACGAGCGCAACCCCUGUGUUUAGUUGCCAGCAUUAAGUUGGGCACUCUAGACAGACUGCCGUGGUUAACACGGAGAAGGCGGGAUGACGUCAAGUCCUCAUGGCCCUUACACCUAGGGCGACACACGUAAUACAAUGGUUGAUACAGAGGGAAGCGAAACGGCGACGUGGAGCAAAUCCCGAAAAGUCGAUCUCAGUUCGGAUUGGAGU
rnacentral:rRNA from 1 species